rnacentral:rRNA from 1 species
UACGAAGGGUGCAAGCGUUACUCGGAAUUACUGGGCGUAAAGGGUGCGUAGGUGGUCGUUUAAGUCCGUUGUGAAAUCCCUGGGCUCAACCUGGGAAUGGCAGUGGAUACUGGACGGCUAGAAUGCGGUAGAGGGUAGUGGAAUUCCCGGUGUAGCAGUGAAAUGCGUAGAGAUCGGGAGGAACACCAGUGGCGAAGGCGGCAUCCUGGACUGGUCCUGACACUCAGGAGCGAAAGCGUGGGGAGCGAUCCGG